rnacentral:rRNA from 1 species
UACGUAUGGUGCGAGCGUUAAUCGGAAUUACUGGGCGUAAAGCGUGCGCAGGCGGUUGUACAAGUCAGGUGUGAAAUCCCCGGGCUUAACCUGGGAACUGCACUUGUGACUGUACGACUGGAGUACGGCAGAGGGGGAUGGAAUUCCGCGUGUAGCAGUGAAAUGCGUAGAUAUGCGGAGGAACACCGAUGGCGAAGGCAAUCCCCUGGGCCUGUACUGACGCUCAUGCACGAAAGCGUGGGGAGCAAACAGG